CGUAAAGCGCAUGCAGGUGGUUUGUUAAGUCAGAUGUGAAAGACCCGGGGCGUCAACCUCGGAAUAGCAUUUGUAAACUAGGCAGACUAGAGUACUGUAGAGGGGGGUAGGAAUUUCAGGUGUAGCGGUGAAAUGCGUAGAGAUCUGAAGGAAUACCGGUGGCGAAGGCGGCCCCCUCGGACAGAUACUGACACUCAGAUGCGAAAGCGUGGGGAGCAAACAGGAUUAGAUACCCUGGUAG
rnacentral:rRNA from 1 species